rnacentral:rRNA from 1 species
CAAUAGCGUAUAUUUAAGUUGUUGCAGUUAAAAAGCUCGUAGUUGGAUUUCGGGUGGGAAUGGCCGGUCCGCCGUUUCGGUGUGCACUUGCUACGCCCACCUUGCUGCCGGGGACGUGCUCUUGAGUUCACGCUCGGGACACGGAGUCGGCGAGGUUACUUUGAGUAAAUUAGAGUGUUCAAAGCAGGCCUACGCUCUGAAUACAUUAGCAUGGAAUAACACGAUAGGACUCUGGCCUAUCUUGUUGGUCUGUAGGACCGGAGUAAUGAUUAAGAGGGACAGUCGGGGGCAUUCGUAUUUCAUUGUCAGAGGUGAAAUUCUUGGAUUUAUGAAAGACGAACUACUGCGAAAGCAUUUGCCAAGGAUGUUUUCAUUGA